rnacentral:rRNA from 1 species
GAGAACUUUCCAGAGAUGGGAUUGGGUGCCUUCGGGAACUCUGAGACAGGUGCUGCAUGGCUGUCGUCAGCUCGUGUUGUGAAAUAUUGGGUUAAGUCCCGCAACGAGCGCAACCCUUAUCCUUUGUGCCAGCGGUUAGGCCGGGAACUCAAAAGGAGACUGCCAGUGAUAAACUGGAGGAAGGUGGGGAUGACGUCAAGUCAUCAUGGCCCUUACGAGUAGGGCUACACACGUGCUACAAUGGCGCAUACAAAGAGAAGCGACCUCGCGAGAGCAAGCGGACCUCAUAAAGUGCGUCGUAGUCCGGAUUGGAGUCUGCAACUCGACUCCAUGAAGUCGGAAUCGCUAGUAAUCGUGGAUCAGAAUGCCACGGUGAAUACGUUCCCGGGCCUUGUACACACCGCCCGUCACACCAUGGGAGUGGGUUGCAAAAGAAGUAGGUAGCUUAACCUUCGGGAGGGCGCUUACCACUUUGUGAUUCAUGACUGGGGUGAAGUCGUAACAAGGUAAGCGUAGUGCU